rnacentral:tRNA from 1 species
GGCUCGCUAGCUCAAUUGGCAGAGCAAGGCACUCUUAAUGCCAAGGUUCGGGGUUCGAGUCCCUGGCGAGUCA